ACUCAAAGGAAUUGACGGGGACCCGCACAAGCGGUGGAGCGUGUUGUUUAAUUCGAUGAUAAGCGAAGAACCUUACCCAGGCUUGACAUCCUACUAAGGUUUCCGAAAGGAAACCGUGUCUUCGGACCGUAGUGACAGGUGAUGCAUGGCCGUCGUCAGCUCGUGUCGUGAGAUGUUUGGUUAAGUCCAUCAACGAGCGCAACCCCUGUGAUUAGUUGAAUUUUUCUAAUCAGACUGCCUCGGUAACGGGGAGGAAGGAGGGGAUGAUGUCAGGUCAGUAUUUCCCUUACGCCUGGGGCUACAAACACGCUACAAUGGCCGGUACAAAGGGCUGCCAAGUCGCGAGACGGAGCAAAUCCCAUCAAAGCCGGUCUCAGUUCGGAUAGCAGGCUGAAACUCGCCUGCUUGAAGCUGGAAUCGCUAGUAACGGUAGGUCAGCACACUACCGUGAAUACGUUCCCGGGUCUUGCACACACCGCCCGU
rnacentral:rRNA from 1 species